rnacentral:rRNA from 1 species
AUGAACGCUAGCGACAGGCCUAACACAUGCAAGUCGAGGGGCAGCACAAGGAGCAAUCUGAGGUGCGACCGGCGCACGGGUGAGUAACACGUAUGCAACCUGCCUGUAAGCGGGGAAUAACCCGUUGAAAGACGGACUAAUACCGCAUAAUACUAAAUUACUGCAUGGUAAUUUAUUUAAACAUUUAUGGCUUACAGAUGGGCAUGCGCAUGAUUAGCUAGUUGGAGAGGUAACGGCUCCCCAAGGCAACGAUCAUUAGGGGUUCUGAGAGGAAGGUCCCCCACACUGGUACUGAGACACGGACCAGACUCCUACGGGAGGCAGCAGUGAGGAAUAUUGGUCAAUGGACGAGAGUCUGAACCAGCCAAGUCGCGUGCAGGAAGAAUGUCCUAAUGGAUUGUAAACUGCUUUUGCAGGGGAAUAAAGUGCAUCACGUGUGAUGUUUUGUAUGUACUCUGCGAAUAAGGAUCGGCUAACUCCGUGCCAGCAGCCGC